GCAUGUGAGGGCGAGCUGGCUGCGAUAUCUGUACCACAUUGAUCUCUAAGGUCGAUUCCACUGAUCUGGCUGGUUAGGCCGGUGUCCCCUUCCUGUGUCCCCUCACCUGUGUAUCUCUCCUGAAGCUAUGAGCUUGGUCUAUUGGCCUUCCCCCAAUAGAGACAAGCUGGUCUUUGGUCGAGGUAAUAGGAGUAAAGUGAGAGCCAUAGUGGCUCAAAAGGAGCUUCCUGAAAAUAUUUCUGAUUUCAGGGUAGAGUCUGAAGCAGAUCUUCUGGCCAC
ensembl:misc_RNA 7SK 7SK RNA